rnacentral:rRNA from 1 species
UACGGAGGAUCCGAGCGUUAUCCGGCUUUAUUGGGCUUAAAGGGUGCGUAGGUGGCCUGUUAAGUCAGGGGUGAAAGACGGUAGCUCAACUAUCGCAGUGCCCUUGAUACUGAUGGGCUUGAAUGAACUAGAGGUAGGCGGAAUGUGACAAGUAGCGGUGAAAUGCAUAGAUAUGUCACAGAACACCAAUUGCGAAGGCAGCUUACUAUGGUUUUAUUGACACUGAGGCACGAAAGCGUGGGGAUCAAACAGG